UAGGGAAUCUUCGGCAAUGGACGAAAGUCUGACCGAGCAACGCCGCGUGAGUGAAGAAGGUUUUCGGAUCGUAAAACUCUGUUGUUAGAGAAGAACAAGGACGUUAGUAACUGAACGUCCCCUGACGGUAUCUAACCAGAAAGCCACGGCUAACUACGUGCCAGCAGCCGCGGUAAUACGUAGGUGGCAAGCGUUGUCCGGAUUUAUUGGGCGUAAAGCGAGCGCAGGCGGUUUCUUAAGUCUGAUGUGAAAGCCCCCGGCUCAACCGGGGAGGGUCAUUGGAAACUGGGAGACUUGAGUGCAGAAGAGGAGAGUGGAAUUCCAUGUGUAGCGGUGAAAUGCGUAGAUAUAUGGGGGAACACCAGUGGAGAAGGCGGCUCUCUGGUCUGUAACUGACGCUGAGGCUCGAAAGCGUGGGGAGCAAACAGG
rnacentral:rRNA from 1 species